rnacentral:lncRNA from 1 species
AUCGAUUUAUAGGAUUCUUUUGUUGAUUAUACGAUUGAGGUCUUUGGUUAACAAUUUGAUUUAAGGUUUCUGGAAUUAAGAACGAUUGGUUCUUUUUUGAGGAUCUGUGACCUUUAAUUUACAGAUUUGGGAUUUCUUGAAAAGGAUUUAGAGUGCCCUGUGGCUGCUAGUUUGAUCUAGGUUUCAUAAUUUUGAUUUAAUUUGUUCCGGUGAUAUGGUGGAACUAGGGAUGCUUUUGGUAGAUGUUCUAGGGUUCUUAUAAGCUGGAGCAUAUGUUCUUAUUUGGUCUUUGUUGCCUUUGUUCUGGGAUUUGAGGCUCUAUGAGCAGGGGUUUUGAGGGAUCCUCUUUUAGUGAUUUAGAUUUUCAAGAAUUUUUCAUGAUCUGUUUUUUUUUUUGAUGAUCUGCAUCCUUUAAUAUUGAUUUUUCUAUAAGAAUUUGAAAUGUUCUGUGAUUGAUUAAUUUUCAGGUUGAUUUAGAAUCUCUUGUUUUUGGUUGAAGCAAUGUUUGUUGCAUAUUGGUAACUUGUUGGUGUUAUUAUAUCAUUUUGGUAUACUUGAUGAGUCAUGGUUUUGUGGUGCAUCAGAGAAGUAUUGUUACCACAA